CCUGUCCCUAGAGGCAUUGCAGGUGUGGCUACUGUGUCUGUCGCAUGUGUGUCAGUAGGUGGUAGAGAGGGAAAGGCCAUGUCUACACUCAGUGUCCUGACUUGGGAACAUCUGAAUGAUCAGUAGCCUAACACU
rnacentral:snoRNA from 1 species